UUGAGCUCAACGUCAACAACAGCAAGUAGAGAGGCGCACAAGAAUUACGGCAGAUUUUGUCAAUAGUGUCUGUAGUUGAAGAGCUAACAAGGCUGGCCACGACCUGUCGUCUUUGUUGCUCACGCCGCCUGGUCGGUCAGUUGAUGGGUGCGCGCUGUUAUUGUAGCUGAAAUAACAGUGACGAAGCGAAUAGUGCCGACGACAAUAUCUCGAAUGGCGAUAACGUAUAGUGAUGCAUUGUGCGCUAUUGUUUUUGUCAUAGUUGCUAAAGCUCUGUGCCGCGGAGGUCUGUUUGGCUGGCUGCUCUUCGUAUACGGCCUCCCAUCUCACGUUUAUAUAGCUGCACGCAGAUACUGUUGAUUUUACAGCCAUGGAUGCCGACGCACUCUUGCUUGUCUCGAGCAGUUCUGCGUUCUCUAGUGAUCUCUGUCGACAUCUGUUGCUGUCUAACAGACAUAGAACAGACAGUGCUUUGCGGCCAGCCGUGUUUCGGGUGACGACCCAAAUGACGAUGUCGACGAGACGGGAAAGGGCGAUGCUGUGGAAGAAAGCCGAGAAUCUAUGGACAAAUAUAGCUUCGACGAGCGAACGACGCCAACAAAAACAAGAUGAGCAACAGGAAACGUUCCUUUACUACUACGGUAGUAUAGUAUGGCCCGGUAAUUGAAUGGUUUGAAUGUGGGCCAGAACAGACAGCAAGGGAGAUUUCUACACGCAUGCAACAUGUAAUAGAAAAUAAAAUGGAUUAAAUGGACUAUUGAAAAUAUUAGACGCCAUGCCUGUCUGGUCAGCGUGACGUCUUCCAUCGUCACGAGUGUUCUACUAGCUGAACGGGGCUCACGUGCGGCACCAUUAUGUCUGGGCAUGGCCACGGAGGAUCGUCUUUUGCAGAUGUCAAGUGCAGUCGCAGACACCCCACGGGAUGGCGUUAGUUUCGAAGACACUCGCGGUAACUCAUCUCCGUUGCAAGAGCCAAAAGGACAGAAAUAGGAGGCACAACAGCAGAAAUAACCAAAGACAGCGAUGCAUCAGGACGCCAAUUAACACGUUCUCAUGUAGAGAACGUGUCAUAAGAUACAGUAUUUAUUUGAGAAAGCCAUUUGUUUGUCUACCGGUUGACCCUCGCCAGUCGACUGGCCAGGUAUCGAGCUUCGACAGCCGAAGGUUUAGCGACAAGUGUGAAACACUCGCUUGACGCCAUCAGCAACAUGAUGAUCGGGUCGGAGUCAAGCGACCGAGAAAAAGGUCGACGGUCCUUUCUCGUUUUGUCGAUAGCAGUUUUUGGCAACAACUUGAUACAACUGGCUUUCCGCAACAGCUGCGAGCCCUGGUUCUGUCAAUAGGAUUAGCAACAACUGUAUUAGUCCAAUAUGAAGAAAACACAGCGGGUCAGCGAGCGACAGCGGCAAGGGGCGCCGUGCAGUCUACGAUCUCAAACUGAGACUACUCACAAGCUACCCAGCCAGACAAGUAGAUAAAACAGAAGCAAGACUACAUAGGCCCCUCGAGCGUUUUCCUAACCCCGUUUUUCCUCAUAAUGGACAUUACUGGCCCGCACCUCCGACUCUGGUCUGAUGCCGAAAUGACAAGAGGCGUUGGAACGGUAAUUGUGGAGGACGUCUCAACCGUUGUUGUGCAACGACAUCAACUAUCCAGCGUGAGCCACGGAUGCAUAUUGCGCACGACCUGUGUCUGACGUGGUAUCUGUGCAUUUAACUGUAUUCUGCAUAAAACAGUAGUUUGUGCGUUUAAAGUGUGUACCGGUUCAUGGCACAAUCAUUGUUGCUGUUAAGAGAAUACGUGGUAUUUUUGUUUGGGUCCGAGUAGAAGCCAGGCAUUGCCAUAUAUCGUAGUCACACCUAGUGUAACGUAACAGUCACACUCAAUUAUCGAAUAAUUGACAAGCGGCCACUCAUUAUAUUACGAAUGACACCGUUUUUUAAUGCGCUCCGAUGUAGCAGUAUACCAGGAAGCUACCAACGGAUCUAGGAAUACCUGCCAAAGCUACGUGCUGCAUUAACAUUCGAACAGUUUUCAAAUCCAACAGCAUAAAUCUAAAUAGACCAAGCACUCCUAUUAUUUAUUUCUGCUGUCAGUCACUGAUCGGAGAAUGGGUGGAAAAGCAACUUUUCAAUCUAGCGCCCCUCUUCGUACAUGUUUAAUUAAAAUAUUGUACCAUUUAUGAAGUAUGUAGGUCUUUGCACAAGUGUUACAAGGUAGCAACAUUAUCUUUGUUGCUGCCACUAUUUCCUCGACUGAAUGUACUGCAACAUGAACGUUAUAUCUUCUCGGUUAACAACGAUUAGCAGUAUCAGCCUAACGCGACAGCGGAUUUGGCCGACGGCGGUAGCCUGCCGUCCCGUCUUCUGCUUAUGCUGCUACCCGGAAGCGAGGACCCAAACAAGAUACGCGGACUUAUACAGCUUUAUAUUGGAAAAAGCCGACGAACCAGCGAUAUUCGAUGCUGUAGCGUUAAUGGGGGGGGCUUUUUUUUCGUGAGAUGUAACGGCUGCCAAUCAGCAGCUGCUGACAGCAGUCAAGCAACGCACUACCGCCGAGUGUAUAGAGGCCAAAAAGCGACUCGUGUUCCAAAUCUUUGAGUGAUCACGUCAGCAAUCCAUGACGAGUGGCGAAUAACGCUCGGCGAUGAUUAAAAAAAUACAGCCAUUCGGGCUAGUAGGAUAGUGUGUGAGAUACUGGCAUAAAGUAAAUCACAAGGCACCGAUAGAAAUAUGCACAGGGGAAGCUCUUGACAGCUGAUGAUCGACUCGCUGCGACAAGACGUAAUCAUAGCACACCUAUGCAAAUAUCAGCGGUUAUGGGAUAAAAUUAGCGCCUUGAUCAUUCGAUUGCUAGGCCUCGAUGGCCGUGUUCCAUAGAAGGUCCAUGUGGAAAACUUGUUCGGUUUUCGAUUAUUCAGGCGGUGAAGCCCGAGUAGACAUCGAAGUGAUAGAAAACGUUAAUUGAAGUCAGAAUACACCUGUCAAUUAGGUGGUACAAGUUCUGAGGCAAAACAAAUAGUGUGCGCGAGAAUUGUGCGCUAUACCGAAUUUGCUCCCUGCGUACCCAUAUACGUGUAUGCACAGACCUAUUAACAAGCAUCUAUACGUCCUGAUAGGGCUCCGUAACGCACUCGCAUAAUAACUAUAACGCCUACGAUAAACUGUUCUUACUAGUUCAGAAUUGAUUGCUAUAAAUCUCGUGCAAUUCAUCAACUAUAACACAAUGGCCUCUAUUCUCUACAAAUUAGACUGUUUAUCCUCGUUAGCCAAUGGCUAUAGCAAUGCAAACAAGUUUCAACCUCAUCAAAUAGCCUUUUGCUCUCGUUCUGUGUGAAAAUCUUUUGAAAUUUCACCUUCUCCUUGUUCGGAUGGAAAAAAUGAAUAAGGUUCUCUGAAAAUUUCUAUUUUUUUGUAUCCUAAUAGUUUGUUUAAUAAAGCCAGACUAUGGCCAAAAAACGAUCGCCUAUUGAUUUCAAAUAUCGUUAUUUAUGUUAAGGCUGGCCCUGUGACUGUGAAUAUAUGAAUACAGUUUGGAGGAUUAGAGAGGCGGUGCUGAACCACCGUACGCUGAGUACUUACGCUGGCAAUGGCGACAUCGAUCCAAUCCCUUGUAGAGGGCUGCAGCGGAAACUAAACGGUGUUUUGAAUCUGCGGCGGUAAAACAAGGGACAGUGUUACAAAUAUCUAGUAGAGUUCCAACAAGAAGUAGAGAAGCAGAUAGU
rnacentral:lncRNA from 1 species